rfam:Gossypium arboreum cultivar AKA8401 contig_4184_5, whole genome shotgun sequence.
UUAAAUAUAUAUAUAUAUAGAUAUAGAUUCCAUCAGAACUCUAUAAUUAAGUGUGUUUGGACGAAAGUAUUUUUAGGAUGGGUGACCUCCUUGGAAGUUCUCGUAUUGCAC